rnacentral:rRNA from 1 species
UCUACGGGAGGCAGCAGUAGGGAAUCUUCCGCAAUGGACGAAAGUCUGACGGAGCAACGCCGCGUGAGCGAAGAAGGCCUUCGGGUCGUAAGGCUCUGUUGUUAGGGAAGAACAAGUAUCGGAGUAACUGCCGGUACCUUGACGGUACCUAACCAGAAAGCCACGGCUAACUACGUGCCAGCAGCCGCGGUAAUA